rnacentral:rRNA from 1 species
ACUGCUCAGUAACACGUGGACAACCUACCCUGUGGAGGGGGAUAACCCCGGAAAACUGGGGAUAAUACCCCAUAGGUUAGGGUGGCUGGAAUGCCCCCUAGCUCAAAGGUCCGCCGCCACAGGAUGGGUCUGCGGCCGAUUAGGUUGUUGUUGGGGUAACGGCCCAACAAGCCUUUGAUCGGUACGGGUUGUGGGAGCAAGAGCCCGGAGAUGGAUUCUGAGACACGAAUCCAGGCCCUACGGGGCGCAGCAGGCGCGAAAACUUUACAAUGCGAGAAAUCGUGAUAAGGGAACCCCGAGUGCCCGUAAAUUCGGGCUGUCCGCCAGUGCAAAAAACUGGUGAAGAAAGAGCCGGGCAAGACCGGUGCCAGCCGCCGCGGUAAUACCGGCGGCUCGAGUGGUGGCCACUAUUACUGGGCUUAAAGCGUCCGUAGCUUGGUUGUUAAGUCUCCUGGGAAAUCCAUCGGCUCAACCGAUGGGCGUUCAGGAGAUACUGGCAACCUAGGGACCGGGAGAGGUGAGAGGUACUCCAGGGGUAGGAGUGAAAUCCUGUAAUCCUUGGGGGACCACCUGUGGCGAAGGCGUCUCACUAGAACGGCUCCGACAGUGAGGGACGAAAGCUGGGGGAGCAAACCGGAUUAGAUACCCGGGUAGUCCCAGCUGUAAACGAUGCGCGUUAGGUGUAUCGGUGACCACGAGUCACCGAGGUGCCGAAGGGAAACCGUGAAACGUGCCGCCUGGGAAGUACGGUCGCAAGGCUGAAACUUAAAGGAAUUGGCGGGGGAGCAC